AGCGUACACGGUGGAUGCCCUGGCAGUCAGAGGCGAUGAAGGACGUGCUAAUCUGCGAAAAGCGCCGGUAAGGUGAUAUGAACCGUUAUAACCGGCGAUGUCCGAAUGGGGAAACCCGGUGCACUUCGGUGCAUCAUCGUUAGCUGAAUACAUAGGCUAACGAAGCGAACCGGGGGAACUGAAACAUCUAAGUACCCCGAGGAAAAGAAAUCAACCGAGAUUCCCCCAGUAGCGGCGAGCGAACGGGGAACAGCCCAGAGCCUGAAUCAGCUUGUGUGUCAGUGGAACGGUCUGGAAAGGCCGGCGAUACAGGGUGACAGCCCCGUACACGAAGGCACACAGGCUGUGAGCUCGAUGAGUAGGGCGGGACACGUGAUAUCCUGUCUGAAGAUGGGGGGACCAUCCUCCAAGGCUAAAUACUCCUGACUGACCGAUAGUGAACCAGUACCGUGAGGGAAAGGCGAAAAGAACCCCGGCGAGGGGAGUGAAACAGAACCUGAAACCGUGUACGUACAAGCAGUGGGAGCCUUCGUAAGAGGGUGACUGCGUACCUUUUGUAUAAUGGGUCAGCGACUUAUAUUCUGUAGCAAGGUUAACCGUAUAGGGGAGCCGAAGGGAAACCGAGUCUUAACCGGGCGUUAAGUUGCAGGGUAUAGACCCGAAACCCGGUGAUCUAGCCAUGGGCAGGUUGAAGGUUGGGUAACACUAACUGGAGGACCGAACCGACUAAUGUUGAAAAAUUAGCGGAUGACCUGUGGCUGGGGGUGAAAGGCCAAUCAAACCGGGAGAUAGCUGGUUCUCCCCGAAAGCUAUUUAGGUAGCGCCUCGUGAACUCAUCUCCGGGGGUAGAGCACUGUUUCGGCUAGGGGGCCAUCCCGGCUUACCAACCCGAUGCAAACUGCGAAUACCGGAGAAUGUUAUCACGGGAGACACACGGCGGGUGCUAACGUCCGUCGUGAAGAGGGAAACAACCCAGACCGCCAGCUAAGGUCCCAAAGUCAUGGUUAAGUGGGAAACGAUGUGGGAAGGCCCAGACAGCCAGGAUGUUGGCUUAGAAGCAGCCAUCAUUUAAAGAAAGCGUAAUAGCUCACUGGUCGAGUCGGCCUGCGCGGAAGAUGUAACGGGGCUAAACCAUGCACCGAAGCUGCGGCAGCGACACUAUGUGUUGUUGGGUAGGGGAGCGUUCUGUAAGCCUGUGAAGGUGUGCUGUGAAGCAUGCUGGAGGUAUCAGAAGUGCGAAUGCUGACAUAAGUAACGAUAAAGCGGGUGAAAAGCCCGCUCGCCGGAAGACCAAGGGUUCCUGUCCAACGUUAAUCGGGGCAGGGUGAGUCGACCCCUAAGGCGAGGCCGAAAGGCGUAGUCGAUGGGAAACAGGUUAAUAUUCCUGUACUUGGUGUUACUGCGAAGGGGGGACGGAGAAGGCUAUGUCGGCCGGGCGACGGUUGUCCCGGUUUAAGCGUGUAGGCUGACUUUCCAGGCAAAUCCGGAGAGUUAAGGCUGAGGCGUGAUGACGAGGCACCACGGUGCUGAAGUGACAAAUGCCCUGCUUCCAGGAAAAGCCUCUAAGCAUCAGGUAACAUCAAAUCGUACCCCAAACCGACACAGGUGGUCAGGUAGAGAAUACCAAGGCGCUUGAGAGAACUCGGGUGAAGGAACUAGGCAAAAUGGUGCCGUAACUUCGGGAGAAGGCACGCUGACAUGUAGGUGAAGCCCCUGCGGGUGGAGCUGAAGUCAGUCGAAGAUACCAGCUGGCUGCAACUGUUUAUUAAAAACACAGCACUGUGCAAACACGAAAGUGGACGUAUACGGUGUGACGCCUGCCCGGUGCCGGAAGGUUAAUUGAUGGGGUUAUCGCAAGAGAAGCUCCUGAUCGAAGCCCCGGUAAACGGCGGCCGUAACUAUAACGGUCCUAAGGUAGCGAAAUUCCUUGUCGGGUAAGUUCCGACCUGCACGAAUGGCGUAAUGAUGGCCAGGCUGUCUCCACCCGAGACUCAGUGAAAUUGAACUCGCUGUGAAGAUGCAGUGUACCCGCGGCAAGACGGAAAGACCCCGUGAACCUUUACUACAGCUUGACACUGAACAUUGAGCCUUGAUGUGUAGGAUAGGUGGGAGGCUUUGAAGCGUGGACGCCAGUCUGCGUGGAGCCGACCUUGAAAUACCACCCUUUAAUGUUUGAUGUUCUAACCUGGCGCCGUGAUCCGGCGUGGGGACAGUGUCUGGUGGGUAGUUUGACUGGGGCGGUCUCCUCCCAAAGUGUAACGGAGGAGCACGAAGGUCAGCUAAUCCUGGUCGGACAUCAGGAGGUUAGUGCAAUGGCAUAAGCUGGCUUGACUGCGAGAGUGACGGCUCGAGCAGGUGCGAAAGCAGGUCAUAGUGAUCCGGUGGUUCUGUAUGGAAGGGCCAUCGCUCAACGGAUAAAAGGUACUCCGGGGAUAACAGGCUGAUACCGCCCAAGAGUUCAUAUCGACGGCGGUGUUUGGCACCUCGAUGUCGGCUCAUCACAUCCUGGGGCUGAAGUAGGUCCCAAGGGUAUGGCUGUUCGCCAUUUAAAGUGGUACGCGAGCUGGGUUUAGAACGUCGUGAGACAGUUCGGUCCCUAUCUGCCGUGGGCGCUGGAGAAUUGAGGGGGGCUGCUCCCAGUACGAGAGGACCGGAGUGGACGCAUCACUGGUGUUCGGGUUGUCAUGCCAAUGGCACUGCCCGGUAGCUAAAUGCGGAAGAGAUAAGUGCUGAAAGCAUCUAAGCACGAAACUUGCCCCGAGAUGAGUUCU
rnacentral:rRNA from 1 species